rnacentral:rRNA from 1 species
AUUGACUAAGGUUUCCAGAGGAAGGCUCGUCCGCUCUGGGUUAGUCGGGUCCUAAGCUGAGGCCGACAGGCGUAGGCGAUGGAUAACAGGUUGAUAUUCCUGUACCACCUAUAAUCGUUUUAAUCGAUGGGGGGACGCAGUAGGAUAGGCGAAGCGUGCGAUUGGAUUGCACGUCUAAGCAGUAAGGCUGAGUAUUAGGCAAAUCCGGUACUCGUUAAGGCUGAGCUGUGAUGGGGAGAAGACAUUGUGUCUUCGAGUCGUUGAUUUCACACUGCCGAGAAAAGCCUCUAGAUAGAAAAUAGGUGCCCGUACCGCAAACCGACACAGGUAGUCAAGAUGAGAAUUCUAAGGUGAGCGAGCGAACUCUCGUUAAGGAACUCGGCAAAAUGACCCCGUAACUUCGGGAGAAGGGGUGCUCUUUAGGGUUAACGCCCAGAAGAGCCGCAGUGAAUAGGCCCAAGCGACUGUUUAUCAAAAACACAGGUCUCUGCUAAACCGUAAGGUGAUGUAUAGGGGCUGACGCCUGCCCGGUGCUGGAAGGUUAAGAGGAGUGGUUAGCUUCUGCGAAGCUACGAAUCGAAGCCCCAGUAAACGGCGGCCGUAACUAUAACGGUCCUAAGGUAGCGAAAUUCCUUGUCGGGUAAGUUCCGACCCGCACGAAAGGCGUAACGAUUUGGGCACUGUCUCAACGAGAGACUCGGUGAAAUCAUAGUACCUGUGAAGAUGCAGGUUACCCGCGACAGGACGGAAAGACCCCGUGGAGCUUUACUGUAGCCUGAUAUUGAAAUUCGGCACAGCUUGUACAGGAUAGGUAGGAGCCUUUGAAACGUGAGCGCUAGCUUACGUGGAGGCGCUGGU